GUACAAUUGCUCUGGAGCAAGAAGCAAAAAAUAAUGUAAUACAUUAGCGAGAGUUACAAAUAUAAACAUCUUUAUUUGUGGAGGUUUCUUGAGGAUUCUUAUAUGAGGGAAAGGCACUUUUAAUUUCCACUGUGAGAGCCUCUCAGGGAAAAUGGCUGUAUUCCUGUUCCCUGAGGUAGAGAUGGAUGCCAUGGAAAUACUCCUGGGCAGGGAAUCCCAAAUGAGAACAGCACAGAUUGUUUUCUUCCAUCUGCUCCAAUUGUUUCAUGCUCUGAUCCGGGCUGGAGAGGAGUUUAUCCAGCAGAGAGUUGUUCCAAGUAGCACGGCUGUCCUCCGUGGUGAAGAGUUGGAAGCUCUGCAGGAGCAUCAGAUAGUGGUUGCCGGGGCCUUGAGUCAUCUGCAUUGGAGUGAUCUUCUCUCUUUUUCAAGGAAGUCUGAAGUGGCUCUGUCCUUUAGGCGCCACUGAGAGCGGAUCCUUUCCAUCUGUUUCAAGUGUUUGAAGAUUUCCUUGUUUUUCUGGCAGUGGAUCCCAGGCACGUUCCAGCGAAGAGAGCAAACAGGGAUGCUGCGGAGCAUCACCCCUUCCACCAGCAAGUGGAUGUGGGCCAUAGAGAAUGUCAGUGAGUCUGUAGACGGCCGGGAGGGGGCGCGCGAGCACCGCGAAACAAUGAGCAAAGAGCGCUGAGAUGGAACCGCAGACCUCCUGCUUCUCCGGGCGACAGCGAGAGCGCGCACGCUGUGGUUCGAUCGCUUCUGCUUUCGAAUCGCAGUCUUGGGGGAGUUGGCUGUUGACUCACAUGGGCUGGAGAGACAGGACGCAAAGUUUCCACAGAGCUUUUUAUAGGAGCACUGAUUCAAGGGUGCGCAUAUCAUUAGCCCUUUUAUGGAAAAGGGCUGGUUUUCCGCUGUCCUGAGUAGGGAGCCAGAAUAUUGCAUUUUAGGAAAGACCGCCUGAGUAGUGGGCUUUCUUUCCAAAUGUCAAACAACCAAGCCCAUGUUUGAGGAAAAGAACCCCCAAGGCGGGGCUUCUGAGCGAGAUGAGGCUGAUUUUACAGAUUGGCGCUCACUUCCGGCGCGAGGGAACCCACAGCUCAGAUAAAGGGACCGGGCAGCGGUGAUGGGAUUAUUGGCGACGCGAGGAUGGACAGCGCUGUGCCCAAAGUGAAACUAGAAGGUGGGCAUGAAACGAUUGGUUACCGGACGCUGUGGGGGCGUUGCUGACAAAGUGAAACAAGUGGGUGAGCUGCAGGAAUCUGUCUCUGAACAGCUCUCUGGGAACUGCCUCAUCUUCCUGACCACAGACCCAGAACGUGAGGAAAUAAUCUGCUAAACAGAUUCAAAUAGAAGACUUAACGUAAGGAGCACUUGGGAAGUGUCUGGUACCAUUCUGAGCAUGUGCUAUAAAUUAAGGCAAUUAAUCUUGCCACACUUUCAAGACACGUGUCCAGGUCCUCCAGCUGCUGAUCAAGUCCCACAAGGAAUCUGUCCAGGAGGCUCUCGUUCCAACCUGCAGAAGAGCCCGUGGUGCUGAAGAGCUGGAAGGUCUGCUGGAGCAACUCGUGCACAACAGCUGUGGCUUCUGUCUUCUCAAGCCUGGUCCCGUGCACCAGGGUCUGAGGAAAUCUGAAGUCAGUCCUGUCCCUCAGACAGGACACAAUGGGCACUCUCUCCAUCUGACUCCAACGUGUGAAGCUUUCCAGAUUGCCGUGACUCGCAGGCAGCUCAUAGCCCAGGGAGCACGUGGGGCUGGAGCAGAGCAUCACCAGGGCCAGCAGCACAGAGACGGGGAGGGCCACUGGGACGCUGGGGGCUCACAGGACUGCCUGCGGGGGAGGUGUAGGCAAGUUCUGAGGGCUUGGGGUGAUGGGUGGUCUUAAAGAGUGAGUAGAGAAACUUUCACUUUCUGGGUUUUUCCACAGUUUGCCCUUUCCUUUCUUUUUCCACUCUUUGUAAUGAAAUCAAUAAAAGUGAUAAUUUGUGCCAUGA